AGGAAAUGAUGCAUUCUGACAAUGUUUCACCUAAUGCCGGGGACAGACCAGCAGAAAUAACUCAUACCAGCAGAUGUACAGGUGUCGGUUUCUGCAGCAUGGAGGCAAUGGGGCAGCUGAGCUCCUGUCUGCAAGUAAGUGAAGAGCAUUUGGCUGGCACCUUUGCAAUAGGAGCAUCCCAGAUGCGUUGUUUUACUGGUGAAAUGUGUGCUGUCUGGGUGCAGGCCCUCUCCCACCGUCUCUGUGUUAAACACGUGGCACUGCAGCGAUGGGUGGGUUAGAAAUGCUUACGGGAUGAUUCAAUGUCAUGUUGACAAUAGUAGUUGGAUGUAAAGCCGGGAUAACAG
rnacentral:lncRNA from 1 species